rnacentral:rRNA from 1 species
GAUGAACGCUGGCGGCGUGCCUAAUACAUGCAAGUCGAGCGAACAGACGAGGAGCUUGCUCCUCUGACGUUAGCGGCGGACGGGUGAGUAACAGGUGGAUAACCUACCUAUAAGACUGUGAUAACUUCGGGAAACCGUAGCUAAUACCGGAUAAUAUAUUGAACCGCAUGGUUCAAAAGUGAAAUACGGUUUUGCUGUCACUUAUAGAUGGAUCCGCGCCUCAUUAGCUAGUUGGUAAGGUAACGGCUUACCAAGGCAACGCUGCGUAGCCGACCUGAGAGGGUGGACGGACACACUGGAAGUGAAACACGGUACAGAAUCCUAAGGGAGGCAGCAGUAGGGAAUCUUACGCAAUGGGAGAAAGCAUGACGGAGCAACGCCGCGUGAGUGAUGAAGGUCUUCGGAUCGUAAAACUGUGUUAUUAGGGAAGAACAAAUGUGUAAGUAAAUGUGAACAUCUUGACGGUACCUAAUCAGAAAGCCACGGCUAACUACGUG